AUCACGUCGCCCACACCAAACAUCCAUGAUGUAUGUGGGCGGAGACUGGUCUCCCGUGCCCAUGGCGCGGUUGGCCCAAAUACGAGUCCGCUUAAGAGUGACGCACGACUGGUGGUGGUUGAUUACACAGUCGUCUCGUGUCGUGCGUCUCGAUUCUUGACGGUAUUAGCUCUUGUAGCACCCUAACGCGCCGUCUUGUGAUGGCCCUUCGAUC
rnacentral:rRNA from 1 species